AGGCAUGAGAAUGGAAAAAAACACCAGGGUUAGUUUUUCAAAGAACAGAGUUGAAAUUUAUUUCUAUGGGAAUUGGAGAUUCAUUCCUGGAAUUAACUUUAAAAGUCAUAUAAGACUUUAUCUGGUAGAUGGACUGCCACUCACUUCAAAAGACCGAGAGACAAAGCUUACAGUGUCAGUCAAACAGUACAUGUCAGGUAUUGAGCAGAUGAGUUGCCCUGGGAUCAAUAAUGGAUCUCAGAUAUUGGAUCAAACUGAUGCCAAUUACACAGUGCCAACGAACGGAAUUGUUUUCAUCGAUGUGCCAACUUCCAAAGAAGCAAAUUUCCUGACUGUGGAGGCACGAUUUGGUGAAGUUGUUGUUUGUAAUUCGAUAUCAGCAUGGAUGAGUUUUCAAAAUGGAUCAUUUUUGCACGUGACAGCCAGUGAAACCAA